GGUUAACGCUGGCGGCGUGCCUAACACAUGCAAGUCGGACGGUUCUAAGCGCGAGCUUAGGAUAGUGGCGAACGGGUGAGUAAAAGGUAGGAAUCUACCCCUUGGACGGAGAUAGCUACUGGAAACGGUAGGUAAACUUCGAUAAGCCCGAGAGGGGAAAGUGGUGAGACAGCCGAGGGAUGAGCCUACUCUCCAUCAGGUAGUUGGUGAGAUAAAAGCUUACCAAGCCGAUGACGGAUAACCGGUGUGAGAGCAUGAACGGUCACAAGGGCACUGAGAGACGGGCCCUACUCCUACGGGAGGCAGCAGUGGGGAAUCUUGGACAAUGGGCGAAAGCCUGAUCCAGCGACGCCGCGUGGAGGAAGAAGUCCUUCGGGAUGUAAACUUCUGAACUAGCCGAAUAAAAGGCCUGUGGACACACAGGAGAAGAAAGUAGGCUAGGAAAAGUCCCGGCUAACUACGUGCCAGCAGCCGCGGUAAGACGUAGGGGGCAAGCGUUACCCGGAAUUACUGGGCGUAAAGGGGGCGUAGGCGGUAAAAGAAGUCAUCUGUGAAAACCUAUUGCUCAACGAUAGGCUAGCGGAUGAAACUGAAUUACUUGAGGGCACCAGAGGUAGACGGAAUUACCCGAGUAGGGGUGAAAUCCGCAGAUACGGGUAGGAACGCCGGUGGAGAAGUCGGUCUACUGGGGUGCACCAGACGCUGAGGCCCGAAAGCUAGGGGAGCAAACCGG
rnacentral:rRNA from 1 species